rnacentral:rRNA from 1 species
AACGAACGCUGGCGGCAGGCCUAACACAUGCAAGUCGAGCGAACUGACGGACUUCGGUCCUGAUGUUAGCGGCGGACGGGUGAGUAACGCGUGGGAAUGUGCCUCUGGGUACGGAACAACAGUUGGAAACGACUGCUAAUACCGUAUGACGUCUUCGGACCAAAGAUUUAUCGCCCAGAGAUCAGCCCGCGUUGGAUUAGGUAGUUGGUGGGGUAAUGGCCCACCAAGCCGACGAUCCAUAGCUGGUUUGAGAGGAUGAUCAGCCACACUGGGACUGAGACACGGCCCAGACUCCUACGGGAGGCAGCAGUGGGGAAUCUUAGACAAUGGGCGCAAGCCUGAUCUAGCCAUGCCGCGUGAGCGAUGAAGGCCUUAGGGUUGUAAAGCUCUUUCACCGGUGAAGAUAAUGACGGUAGCCGGAGAAGAAGCCCCGGCUAACUCCGUG